GACGAACGCUGGCGGCGUGCUUAACACAUGCAAGUCGAACGGUAAGGCCCUUCGGGGUACACGAGUGGCGAACGGGUGAGUAACACGUGGGUGAUCUGCCCUGCACUUCGGGAUAAGCCUGGGAAACUGGGUCUAAUACCGGAUAGGACUCCGGACUGCAUGGUCUGGGGUGGAAAGCUUUUGCGGUGUGGGAUGGGCCCGCGGCCUAUCAGCUUGUUGGUGGGGUGAUGGCCUACAAAGGCGACGACGGGGAGCCGGCCUGAGAGGGUGACCGGACGCACUGGGACAGAGAGACGGCCCAGACUCCUACGGGAGGCAGCAGUGGGGAAUAUUGCACAAUGGGCGCAAGCCUGAUGCAGCGACGCCGCGUGAGGGAUGACGGCCUUCGGGUUGUAAACCUCUUUCAGCAUCGACGAAGCGAAAGUGACGGUAGGUGCAGAAGAAGGACCGGCCAACUACGUGCCAGCCGCCGCCGUAA
rnacentral:rRNA from 1 species